rnacentral:rRNA from 1 species
GACGAACGCUGGCGGCGUGCUUAACACAUGCAAGUCGUACGGUAAGGCCCUUUCGGGGGUACACGAGUGGCGAACGGGUGAGUAACACGUGCGUAACCUGCCCACAACUUUGGGAUAACGCUAGGAAACUGGUGCUAAUACUGGAUAUGUGCUCCUGCUGCAUGGUGGGGGUUGGAAAGCUCCGGCGGUUGUGGAUGGACUCGCGGCCUAUCAGCUUGUUGGUGGGGUAGUGGCCUACCAAGGCGGCGACGGGUAGCCGGCCUGAGGGGGUGACCGGCCACAUUGGGACUGAGAGACGGACCAGACGCCGACGGGAGGCAGUAGUGGGGAAUAUUGCACAAUGGGCGCAAGCCUGAUGCAGCAACGCCGCGUGCGGGAUGACGGCCUUCAGGUUGAGAACCGCUUUCAGCAGGGACGAAGCUUUUUGUGACGGUACCUGCAGAAGAAGCACCGGCUAACUACGUG